UAGCGUUUGUUAUGUUUUAUUGUUUCCCCUCCCCACAUGACUUGAAACACAUUAGGAUAGACGGAGUGGUCGAUGUAACCACCUAGGACUGGAUUCAAUCUGUAUCGCUGAACUUCAGCGUUACCACCUAGGACUGGAUUCAAUCUGUAUCGCUGAACUUCAGCGUUUUAGCGUGAUUGAAAAUGUUCCUGCAUUAGCAUAGACUGCAUUCAUGGUAAACACUGCAUAUGUCGGCUCCAUCUGAAAGGAUGCCAUCUGUAACGCUUCAGCCCCUAGUACUCCUAUGGAACCUUCAGCAGCCUUUCAUUACAUUGCACUCAAUAAAACAUGGAGUGUGCCAUUUGGGAUGCAGACCAUGCUUUCUGUGAUUGGCUAUAUUAUCUCCUUCUCCCCCACUGCUGUACUGUAAGUCAGUGUGGGACUUGGACACAAGCACAUCCAGACUCAGUGAGCUUUUCUUGCGUCUUCGCCCCUCUAACAACAACUGUAUGUAUGAACAUCUGGCAAUAAAAGAUCUCUUAAGAAACAUUCAGAGACACUGUGUGAAUUCUGUUGUGUGAGGGGGAAAAAACGUCUGAUUCUUUGUUAAAUGUGUUCUGGUAAUAAUCCCAGAGCAACUAUUAGUAGUCUGGCCCUCUACUGUAUCUGAUGGAGUAUACUGAAUUCAUGUCCAUCAUUUUCACUCCUGUCAGUGAUGUUGCACCUGGAACCCUGUUCACCUGGUUGCACUGUAGCCUAGAGUUGUCUACACUACAUGUGACCAACCUAAAAGUACUUGUUACAUUUUGAAUGCUUAGCAGGACAGGAAAAUGGUCCAAUUCACACACUUAACUAGAACAUCCCUACUACCUCUGAUCUGACAGACUCACUAAACACACAUGCUUUGUUUGUAAAUGAUGUCUGAGUGUUGGAGUGUGCCCCUGGCUAUCCGUAAAUUAAAAACAAGACAUUUGUGCCGUCUGGUUUGCUUAAUACAAGGAAUGUGAAAUUAUUUAUACUUUUAAUACUUAAGUACUUUUAAAACCAAACACUUUUGGACUUUUACUCAAGUAGUAUUUUACUGGGUGACUUUCACUUUUACUUGA
rnacentral:lncRNA from 13 species